rnacentral:rRNA from 1 species
AUUGAACGCUGGCGGUAUGCCUUACACAUGCAAGUCGAACGGUAACAGGUUAAGCUGACGAGUGGCGAACGGGUGAGUAAUGUAUCGGAACGUGCCCAGUCGUGGGGGAUAACUGCUCGAAAGAGCAGCUAAUACCGCAUACGACCUGAGGGUGAAAGCGGGGGAUCGCAAGACCUCGCGCGAUUGGAGCGGCCGAUAUCAGAUUAGGUAGUUGGUGGGGUAAAGGCCUACCAAGCCUACGAUCUGUAGCUGGUCUGGGAGGACGACCAGCCCCAAUGGGACUGCGACACGGCCCAGACUCCUUAGGGAGGCAGCAGGGGGGAAUUUUGGACAAUGGACGCAAGUCUGAUCCAGCCAUGCCGCGCGCGGGAAGAAGGCCUUCGGGUUGUAAACCGCUUUUGUCAGGGAAGAAAAGGUUCUGGUUAAUACCUGGGACUCAUGACGGUACCUGAAGAAUAAGCACCGGCUAACUACGUGCCAGCCGCCGCCGUAA